rnacentral:rRNA from 1 species
AAAUUGAAGAGUUUGAUCAUGGCUCAGAUUGAACGCUGGCGGCAGGCCUAACACAUGCAAGUCGAACGGUAACAGGAAGCAGCUUGCUGCUUUGCUGACGAGUGGCGGACGGGUGAGUAAUGUCUGGGAAACUGCCUGAUGGAGGGGGAUAACUACUGGAAACGGUGGCUAAUACCGCAUAACGUCGCAAGACCAAAGAGGGGGACCUUCGGGCCUCUUGCCAUCAGAUGUGCCCAGAUGGGAUUAGCUUGUUGGUGAGGUAACGGCUCACCAAGGCGACGAUCCCUAGCUGGUCUGAGAGGAUGACCAGCCACACUGGAACUGAGACACGGUCCAGACUCCUACGGGAGGCAGCAGUGGGGAAUAUUGCACAAUGGGCGCAAGCCUGAUGCAGCCAUGCCGCGUGUAUGAAGAAGGCCUUCGGGUUGUAAAGUACUUUCAGCGGGGAGGAAGGUGUUGUGGUUAAUAACCGCAGCAAUUGACGUUACCCGCAGAAGAAGCACCGGCUAACUCCGUGCCAGCAGCCGCGGUAAUACGGAGGGUGCAAGCGUUAAUCGGAAUUACUGGGCGUAAAGCGCACGCAGGCGGUCUGUCAAGUCGGAUGUGAAAUCCCCGGGCUCAACCUGGGAACUGCAUUCGAAACUGGCAGGCUUGAGUCUUGUAGAGGGGGGUAGAAUUCCAGGUGUAGCGGUGAAA